AUUGAACGCUGGCGGCAGGCCUAACACAUGCAAGUCGAACGAGUGGCGGACGGGUGAGUAAUGUAUGGGAAACUGCCUGAUGGAGGGGGAUAACUACUGGACACGGUAGCUAAUACCGCAUACAAUCAGAUGUGCCCAGAUGGGAUUAGCUGGUUGGUGGGGUAACGGCUCACCAAGGCGACGAUCCCUAGCUGGUCUGAGAUGAUGACCAGCCACACUGUAACGUGGCCCCGGUCCAGACUCCUACGGGAGGCAGCAGUGGUGAAUAUUGCACAAUGGGCGCAAGCCUGAUGCAGCCAUGCCGCGUGUAUGAAGAAGUCCUUCGGGUUGUAAAGUACUUUCAGCGGGUAGGCGUUACCCGCAGAAGAAGUACCGGCUAACUCCGUGCCAGCAGCCGCGGUAAUUC
rnacentral:rRNA from 1 species